GGCUAUAGCUCAGUGGUUAGAGCAGCAGCUGCCUUGCCUGCGGAAGGUCCCAGCUCCAAUCCCUGGCAUCUCCA